rnacentral:misc_RNA from 1 species
AACGCACAUUGCGCCCGCCGGCAUCCCGGCGGGCAUGCCUGUUCGAGCGUCAUUUCCACCCUCAGGCCCGGCCUGGUGUUGGGGCGCUGCGCACCGCAGCCCCCGAAAGACAGCGGCGGCCUCGAUCCCGGCUCCGAGCGUAGUAGCACACGUCGCUCUGGGCGCCGGGCGAGUCCCUGCCGGAAAACCCCCCCUCUCCUCAGAGUUGACCUCGGAUCAGGUAGGAAUACCCGCUGAACUUAA